CACCUACGGUCCUGGAUGUCCGCACACGGGGGCAAUAUGACGACCACCCGGAUCAGAUCCCAGGCAGCAUUCGGGUAUUGCCGGAUCAGAUCGAAAAAUGGGCUGCAACAGCUUCGCGCGACCGUUCCGUCGUCGCCUACUGCACCUGACCGAGUGAAGCGACCAGCGCCCGUGUGGCGCGCCAGCUACAGGCGUUAGGCUUCGACGCCGCGGCGCUCAAAGGCGGCUACGCCGCCUGGCGCGCCGCGUAUCCGGUGGAGCCGAAGGAACCGGUCACGGUCUAGC
rnacentral:misc_RNA from 1 species